CACAGGGAGGUAGUGACAAUAAAUAACAAUACAGGGCCCACAGGGUCUUGUAAUUGGAAUGAGUACAAUUUAAAUCUCUUAACGAGGAACAACUAGAGGGCAAGUCUGGUGCCAGCAGCCGCGGUAAUUCCAGCUCUAGUAGCGUAUAUUAAAGUUGUUGCAGUUAAAAAGCUCGUAGUUGAACUUGAAGUGUACAUGGAUGGUGUACUUAACAGUGCUACUGUUUGGUGUAUGCUUGAUGGGUGAACCGGCUGCAUGCAUGCAAGUGUGUGCCAGUGUAUGGUUCAGCGUUUACUGUGAAAAAAUUAGAGUGUUUAAAGCAGGCUGGAUGGGCUUGAAUACAUUAGCAUGGAAUAACUGAAUAGGCUCUGAGGGCUAUUUUGUUGGUUUUGGGUGGCUCAGAGAAUGAUUAACAGGAACAGUUGGGGGCAUUAGUAUUUAAUUGUCAGAGGUGAAAUUCUUGGAUUUAUUAAAGACUAACUUCUGCGAAAGCAUUUGCCAAGGAUGUUUUCAUUAAUCAAGAACGAAAGUUAGGGGAUCGAAGACGAUUAGAUACCGUCGUAGUCUUAACCAUAAACUAUGUCGACUCAGAAUUGUUGCUCAGUUGUUUGAUGCUGGCAGCAGCGCUGUGUGGGAAACCAAAGUGUUUGGAUUCCGGGGGGAGUACAUUCGCAAGGAUGAAACUUAAAGGAAUUGACGGAAGGGCACCACCAGGAGUGGAUUAUGCGGCUUAAUUUGACUCAACACGGGGCAACUUACCAGGUCAGAACAUAGUGAGGAUUGACAGAUUGAGAGCUCUUUCUUGAUUCUAUGGGUGGUGGUGCAUGGCCGUUCUUAGUUGGUGGAGUGAUUUGUCUGGUUAAUUCCGAUAACGAACGAGACCUUAACCUGCUAACUAGAGCAUGGAAGCCUUGUGCUUCCAUUGUGGGGCUCUUCUUAGAGGGACUGUCGAUGUCUAAUCGACGGAGGUUUGAGGCAAUAACAGGUCUGUGAUGCCCUUAGAUGUUCUGGGCCGCACGCGUGAUACACUGACGCAGUCAGCGAGUGCUGCCUUGGCCGAGAGGUUUGGGUAAUCUUGUGAAACUGUAUCGUGUUGGGGAUAGACCCUUGUAAUUAUUGGUCUUGAACGAGGAAUACCUAGUAAGCGCGAGUCAUCAGCUCGCGUUGAUUACGUCCCUGCCCUUUGUACACACCGCCCGUCGCUACUACCGAUU
rnacentral:rRNA from 1 species